CCAAAUAGGAAGCAAGCUACUACUGACUUGGUUCUUCAGACCUUCUCCUGGUGCCCCCACAGAACCCUCCUUGCCCAGCGCCUGUCAGAGCCGCUGGGAAGCUCAGCUGCAGAGCAUGCACUAGAUGCUCUAACUGCAGGGGUGUUUGGGCAGGUGUUCUCUGUAGCAUCAUUCCAGUGGAGUGCUAGGCUCACUGCAGGAAGUGGGACACCUGCAUGGCCCAUGUAUUUGGGCAUUCGCCAGGAUUGAGAGAAAACUGAACUGCAAACAGUGGAACUUCCACAAAGAGACCCUUCAGGAAACAGUUCUAUGGUAUGAUUCCUGUACUCUACAUCUUGCCUCUAAGAUGGGAAUACCAGAGAGCGGGCCCUUGGGCUCUGCAGUUUGUUUGAAAGCCAGCAGCGCACACUUUCUGAGAUACAACUCACAACUCACCUCGAUCCUUCUAGCAGGCAUUAUGAGCACUGGGUAGUAUCAGAGUGACGUGGACUGAAGGGACACGCAUCCUUCAAGGCAAAAUGUGAUGAUGAGUGGAAGGUGUGGUUUGCUAUCAGAAAUCGGUAACUUGGUCCGGUUCAUGUUACAAAGACGGUGAGCGUCAAGGAGGCUGAUGCUGGGUGGGUCAGGGCUCCUGGGUCUAUGGGAACACGUUACCUGGGAAGGAGAUGAAGCAGUGCUGAAGCGGCA
rnacentral:lncRNA from 1 species